CUUUAAGUGGCAGAGAAUGCGUAGAAUUUAGGCUUCUACUACGAGGGUCUCCUCCUUAAAAA
rnacentral:tRNA from 1 species